AUAUUUGCAGUUCAAUGGUAGAAUUCUUGCCUUCCAUGCAAGGUACCCAGGUUCAAUUCCUGGCCAAUGCA
rnacentral:tRNA from 1 species